rnacentral:lncRNA from 1 species
GAGUCUGUUAAGCUGUUAGUUGGCUGGGUCAUAGGUAGUGCCAAAUGUGUGCCGCCAAGUCAGUAGAUAUGCAUGCAUGUGUCUAGUGGGUUAGUGGUUGGGCGAUCCCUACAUGCGUGUGUUAGUGGCCGGUGUGGCCGUGGAUGUGUGCGUGCGCAAGGUUAUUUAUAGAGCCUGCGUGUGUGUAGAGAAGGUGAGCCGAGGGUAAGCUAUGUAGCCACUGUAAAGAGGAAAAGGAUUGGGGCGUUUGAACGCCCGUGGCGGCGUUCGUCGCCGGCCAGAAAAUCUUGUGUCCACUGUUCUUCUUCUUCCACCUCCGUUCGAGUGAGAGGAGAGGUAGCUAGAGGGCUUCGGUUCCAACAUUUGGUAUCAUGAGCUUGGUGUCUUGGGCGUGCUCGCCGUGCCGGAGGCGUGGCAGCGAUGGCGGUGCUCGCCGGCGGCUACGCGAUGGAGCUCCGGGCCGUGUGUCGGCCUAUGGAGGUGGUCGGCGCUGUGGCUGCCAUGGCGCGUGGCGGAGGCGGCGGGCGGUGACGUCGUACGUGCGGCAACCGCGGAGGCCGCCGAGGUGCUGCGUGGUGGCGCGGCGGCGCAGCACGGCGUGGCGGCGUGGAGGCACUGCAUGGCGACAUGGAGUCCGCAGCGGUGCAGGGCAAUAAGCCGUGGCGGCGAGUCGGGCGUGACCGGUGCGUGUUAUGGGUGUGUACUGGACGCGUCGGGCGCGUCGGGACCGCGGGAGUGGACCACGUCGAGGCACUGGACCUGGUUGCGCAGAUCGCGUACGUGCGCGACGGGAGCGCGGGCCGGGAGCGCGGGGACGUGGGGAGUGCGCGCGAAGGGCACAGCGGUCGCGGAGACGAGGAGGUCACGAAGGACCUGCGUGGUGGCGCAGAGGUCGCGGCGGCUCGGCGUGACAACCGUGGAGGCUCGUGGCACGGAGCCGCGGAGCUCGUGUCGGAUGCGUCAGGCGCGUGUAUGGGCGCGCGCCGGGCAUGUCAGGCGCGGCGGGACCGUGGUGUAGGGUGGCCGUUGGCGAGCGGGGGUGUGCGCGUUGAGCUGGUCCAUCGCGGGCUCGCCGCGCCCAGACGUGUGCGUGCAUGUCGGAGGGGGCGCGGGUAGAGCGGGCGGGACGGGCGCUUGACGUGGGCUAGGACGUGGGUGCGUGCCCGGCGCGUCCCUGGGUAUAAAACCCCGUGUACGUUGUAAUGGCAGUGCCCGGAGUCGAGUUCGAGCUCGAGGGAAUCAAGGCCGUUGAUGCGUCGAGAAGAUGGUGUUCCUCGCGACAGUCGACGAAGAGCCGGUGUCCUGUACGUCAAGAUUGGCGGCACAGUCAUGGCUUAGGGGGGAGAAUAUUAGCCAUAAGCCAUGUGUGCCGUGGCGCGUCUGUGCGCGUGUGUGACGUGGGUGGGUGCGCAUGUGUGUUGUGCGUAUGUGCGUACGUCGCGUGAGUCUGUUAAGCUGUUAGUUGGCUGGGUCAUAGGUAGUGGCCAAAUGUGUGCCGGCCAAGUCAGUAGAUAUGCAUGCAUGUGUCUACUGGGUUAGUGGUUGGGCGAUCCCUGCAUGCGUGUGUUAGUGGCCGGUGUGGCCGUGGAUGUGUGCGUGCGCAAGGUUAUUUAUAGAGCCUGUGUGUGUAGAGAAGGUGAGCCGAGGGUAAGCUAUGUAGCCACUGUAAAGAGGAAAAUGAUUGGGGCGUUUGAGCGCCCAUGGCGGCGUUCGUCGCCGGCCAGAAAAUCUUGUGUCCAUUGUUUUUCUUCUUUCACCUCCGUUCGAGUGAGAGGAGAGGUAGCUAGAGGGCUUCGGUUCCAACACACCCCGCCGCCGUCGGGCGUUGCUGCACGCCACGUCGCC